GACGAACCGUGCGAACGUUGUUCGGAAUCACUGGGCUUAAAGGGCGCGUAGGCGGGUGUUCAAGUCAGGGGUGAAAUCCUCCGGCUCAACCGGAGAACUGCCUUUGAUACUGGACGUCUGGAGUGAGGUAGGGGGAUGCGGAAUUCCGGGUGUAGUGGUGGAAUGCGUAGAGAUCCGGAGGAACACCAGCGGCGAAGGCGGCAUCCUGGACUGGUCCUGACACUCAGGAGCGAAAGCGUGGGGAGCGAUCCGG
rnacentral:rRNA from 1 species